rnacentral:rRNA from 1 species
CCUACGGGAGGCAGCAGUGAGGAAUAUUGGACAAUGGGCGCAAGCCUGAUCCAGCCAUGCCGCGUGCAGGAAGACGGUCCUAUGGAUUGUAAACUGCUUUUAUACAGGAAGAAACACCUCUACGUGUAGAGACUUGACGGUACUGUAUGAAUAAGCAUCGGCUAACUCCGUGCCAGCAGCCGCGGUAAUACGGAGGAUGCAAGCGUUAUCCGGAAUCAUUGGGUUUAAAGGGUCCGUAGGCGGUUUAAUAAGUCAGUGGUGAAAGCCCAUCGCUCAACGAUGGAACGGCCAUUGAUACUGUUAAACUUGAAUUAUUAGGAAGUAACUAGAAUAUGUAGUGUAGCGGUGAAAUGCUUAGAGAUUACAUGGAAUACCAAUUGCGAAGGCAGGUUACUACUAAUAUAUUGACGCUGAUGGACGAAAGCGUGGGGAGCGAACAGGAUUAGAUACCCUGGUAGUCCACGCCGUAAACGAUGGAUACUAGCUGUUCGGAGCAAUCUGNGUGNGUAGAGAAGAGAGUAAGUAUACCUACCGUACGGGUAGGUACGGUUCGUACGAAGAAGUAAGAAACGUAACGAAAGUAAGUAAGUAGUACGGUACGUAGAGACGACGGACGACGGACGACGACGGAGGGGAGGAGG